rnacentral:rRNA from 1 species
GCGGGCGGCAGCUACACAUGCAAGUCGAGCGAGAUCUUCGGAUCUAGCGGCGGACGGGUGAGUAACGCGUGGGAACGUACCCUCUUCUGCGGGAUAGCCACUGGAAACGGUGAGUAAUACCGCAUACGCCCUUCGGGGGAAAGAUUUAUCGGAGGAGGAUCGGCCCGCGUUGGAUUAGGUAGUUGGUGGGGUAAUGGCCUACCAAGCCUACGAUCCAUAGCUGGUUUUAGAGGAUGAUCAGCCACACUGGGACUGAGACACGGCCCAGACUCCUACGGGAGGCAGCAGUGGGGAAUCUUAGACAAUGGGCGCAAGCCUGAUCUAGCCAUGCCGCGUGAGUGACGAAGGCCUUAGGGUCGUAAAGCUCUUUCGCCUGUGAUGAUAAUGACAGUAGCAGGUAAAGAAACCCCGGCUAACUCCGUGCCAGCAGCCGCGGUAAUACGGAGGGGGUUAGCGUUGUUCGGAAUUACUGGGCGUAAAGCGCACGUAGGCGGAUUGGAAAGUAUGGGGUGAAAUCCCAGGGCUCAACCCUGGAACGGCCUCAUAAACUUCCAGUCUGGAGUUCGAGAGAGGUGAGUGGAAUUCCGAGUGUAGAGGUGAAAUUCGUAGAUAUUCGGAGGAACACCAGUGGCGAAGGCGGCUCACUGGCUCGAUACUGACGCUGAGGUGCGAAAGUGUGGGGAGCAAACAGGAUUAGAUACCCUG